AGAGAUAUAUCUUAACGGUAAAGUUUUGGUCUCCAAAACCAAAGUUGUAGGUUCAAUUCCUUCUAUCUCUG
rnacentral:tRNA from 1 species